AGCAGCAGCCACGGUAAUACGAAGGGUGCAAGCGUUAAUCGGAAUUACUGGGCGUAAAGCGUGCGUAGGCGGUGAGUUAAGUCUGCUGUGAAAUCCCCGGGCUCAACCUGGGAAUGGCAGAGGAUACUGGCUCGCUAGAGUGUGUCAGAGGAUGGUGGAAUUCCCGGUGUAGCGGUGAAAUGCGUAGAGAUCGGGAGGAACAUCAGUGGCGAAGGCGGCAAUCUGGGACAACACUGACGCUGAGGCACGAAAGCGUGGGGAGCAAACAGGAUUAGAUACCCCUGUAGUCCCUGUCUCUUAUAC
rnacentral:rRNA from 1 species